UCUUAAAUUCCUAAAAUCAAUCACUUAUGUUAAUUUUUUAAGGCUAUAUUGUUUCACGUAGUGAUUGAAAUCUAUUUAUAUUGUAUCUAAAUUAAUAAAGUUAUAUGUAAUAGGUCCAUGGCUACUCUCAAAGGAUUUCGAUUCAUAUGUUUUAUAACUGCGCUUGUUGGAAUAACUGGUCUUACUUUAUAUCCGAUAGUUAUUAAACCAUUGAUUAAUGUUGAUGACUACAGUGAGUUUUUUAUUAACACAAGUUAGAGUUCGGCUUUUCCGAAUCUUAAAUACCCUAUACCAAACAAUUGAGAAGAUUGCACCACUGGAAAGACCAAAAGAAGACAUAAUGUUUAAACUGCUUGUUAAAAGGAAGAUUUCUUUUCAAGUCAUGUGUUUGAUUUAUGAUUGUAAUAAACCAUAAUACAUAUUCAUCUUUAAAGUUUAUUUAUUUUUUUUAUUUACACGAAUCUUUUUGAUUAAAGAAGAAAAUAAAAAUUACUUGUCUCGCUCGUUAAGA